rnacentral:lncRNA from 1 species
UUUGUUUUACUUGACAACCAUUUGGUAGCUGUUUGUAUUACUUCCAGUUUCUGAAUUUUAGCAGCUAAUGUUGCCUUUUUUCUCUUCCUUCCCGAAAGGAGUAAUCACUUCAUAAUAGAGUUUGUAACUUUACAUAAUAGGAGUUGGCUCAUGAUUUUGCAGGGGGUUACGUAUGGUAGUGUAUUUACUUAAUUUUUUUUUUUUUUUUGAGAAUACCUUGAAGCUUUGAGGAUUUUAUUUACAGUGUUUUAUCAAAUUAUUACCCAUUGAAGUACGGUUUUCUGGAAACUUGCAAAAUUGAAAGAUUGGUUUUUGAUAGGCCCCUUGUAAAUUAUGGCUGGAGGAGCAAAAAUGACCUAAAAUUCAUGAAAAAAUGUGGGACUUCAUCCAAUUAUAGUCACUUACCAAUAACAAAAGUUGCCUAAAGCAUGGUUAUGUAACUAGUUUGAUAUGGGAAGUUGAGUUGCCAAGCAGCCUGGGGAAGUUGUCGCUGGCCUGCAAUGGGCUAUAAUGGGCUGCAGAAGCAAGCCUAGGAAUCUGGCCAGCUUGGAGGAGUCUGCUGGGGAGGCUGUGGGUUAGAACUGGAAACAGCCUACUGAUGAGGAUGACACCCUUACCAGCAUGUUCCUGUCACAAGCCCAAGGAGAGUGGAACAUUCAGCAGAGGACUUUACCCGCAGGGCCAUGCUGUGAGAUGACGGCAAAGGGAGUCUGUUGCUGAUUCUUGAGGACUGUGAAACCCAUCUUGAAGAUUCUCUUGCCAGUGAUGUGAUGGAUACAGUGGACGGGGAGGAGCUGGAUGUAUAUUUUCAUGGUGUAAGGUUUGGGUUGCUAACUACCUCUGAUUCAGGAAGAAAAGAAGCCAGGCAGCUAUGGCAGCUCCAAGGUGCUGCUGGCAUUGUCCCAAAUAUUGCUGGGAAGUUGGGUGAGGUUGAUGGUUUUUCUUGGCUGAACCCCACUACGUUAAUGGUGGAGAUGCAUUUCUUGGCUUUACAACUGACGCUGUCUCUCUCAUGUAUGUAG